GACGAACGCUGGCGUGCGUGCUUAACACAUGCAAGUCGAACGGAAAGGCCCUGCUUUUGUGGGGUGCUCGAGUGGCGAACGGGUGAGUAACACGUGAGUAACCUGCCCUUGACUUUGGGAUAACUUCAGGAAACUGGGGCUAAUACCGGAUAGGAGCUCCUGCUGCAUGGUGGGGGUUGGAAAGUUUCGGCGGUUGGGGAUGGACUCGCGGCUUAUCAGCUUGUUGGUGGGGUAGUGGCUUACCAAGGCUUUGACGGGUAGCCGGCCUGAGAGGGUGACCGGCCACAUUGGGACUGAGAUACGGCCCAGACUCCUACGGGAGGCAGCAGUGGGGAAUAUUGCACAAUGGGCGGAAGCCUGAUGCAGCAACGCCGCGUGCGGGAUGACGGCCUUCGGGUUGUAAACCGCUUUCGCCUGUGACGAAGCGUGAGUGACGGUAAUGGGUAAAGAAGCACCGGCUAACUACGUGCCAGCAGCCGCGGUGAUACGUAGGGUGCGAGCGUUGUCCGGAUUUAUUGGGCGUAAAGGGCUCGUAGGUGGUUGAUCGCGUCGGAAGUGUAAUCUUGGGGCUUAACCCUGAGCGUGCUUUCGAUACGGGUUGACUUGAGGAAGGUAGGGGAGAAUGGAAUUCCUGGUGGAGCGGUGGAAUGCGCAGAUAUCAGGAGGAACACCAGUGGCGAAGGCGGUUCUCUGGGCCUUUCCUGACGCUGAGGAGCGAAAGCGUGGGGAGCGAACAGGCUUAGAUACCCUGGUAGUCCACGCUGUAAACGGUGGGUACUAGGUGUGGGGUCCAUUCCACGGGUUCCGUGCCGUAGCUAACGCUUUAAGUACCCCGCCUGGGGAGUACGGCCGCAAGGCUAAAACUCAAAGGAAUUGACGGGGCCCCGCACAAGCGGCGGAGCAUGCGGAUUAAUUCGAUGCAACGCGUAGAACCUUACCUGGGUUUGACAUGGAUCGGGAGUGCUCAGAGAUGGGUGUGCCUCUUUUGGGGUCGGUUCACAGGUGGUGCAUGGCUGUCGUCAGCUCGUGUCGUGAGAUGUUGGGUUAAGUCCCGCAACGAGCGCAACCCUUGUUCACUGUUGCCAGCACGUUAUGGUGGGGACUCAGUGGAGACCGCCGGGGUCAACUCGGAGGAAGGUGGGGAUGACGUCAAGUCAUCAUGCCCCUUAUGUCCAGGGCUUCACGCAUGCUACAAUGGCUGGUACAGAGAGUGGCGAGCCUGUGAGGGUGAGCGAAUCUCGGAAAGCCGGUCUCAGUUCGGAUUGGGGUCUGCAACUCGACCUCAUGAAGUCGGAGUCGCUAGUAAUCGCAGAUCAGCAACGCUGCGGUGAAUACGUUCCCGGGGCU
rnacentral:rRNA from 1 species